UAACUCAGUGAUUGGAAGUGAUCCCUUCAAUUGAUGAGGUGCAAAUACCUCAUUGAUUGGAAGGUUCCAUUGAUGAGGUGCAAAUACCUCAUUGAUUGGAAGGGAUCCCUUCCAAUUGAUGAGGUG
rnacentral:miRNA from 1 species